rnacentral:rRNA from 1 species
GACAGAGGAUGCAAGCGUUAUCCGGAAUGAUUGGGCGUAAAGCGUCUGUAGGUGGCUUUUUAAGUUCGCCGUCAAAUCCCAGGGCUCAACCCUGGACAGGUGGUGGAAACUACCAAGCUAGAGUACGGUAGGGGCAGAGGGAAUUUCCGGUAGAGCGAUGAAAUGCGUAGAGAUCGGAAGGAACACCCAAGGCGAAAGCACUCUGCUGGGCCGACACUGACACUGAGAGACGAAAGCUAGGGGAGCAAAUGGG